GAUGAACGCUGGCGGCGUGCCUAACACAUGCAAGUCGAGCGAGAAAUUAAUUAAGGAAUCUUCGGAAGAAUUAAUUAAUGGAAAGCGGCGGACGGGUGAGUAACGCGUGGGCAACCUGCCUUUCACAGAGGGAUAGCCAAAGGAAACUUUGAUUAAAAACCUCAUAAUGCUAAUUUACUGCAUAAUAGAUUAGCCAAAGAUUUAUCGGUGAAAGAUGGGCCCGCGUCUGAUUAGCUAGUUGGUGAGGUAACGGCUCACCAAGGCAACGAUCAGUAGCCGACCUGAGAGGGUGAUCGGCCACAUUGGAACUGAGACACGGUCCAA
rnacentral:rRNA from 1 species